UCCGGUUUGUCACCGGCAGUCCCAUUAGAGUGCCCAACUUAAUGUGGCAACUAAUGGCAAGGGUUGCGCUCGUUGCGGGACUUAACCCAACAUCUCACGACACGAGCUGACGACGGCCAUGCAGCACCUGUCACUUGGCUCCUUGCGGCACUCCACCGUUUCCAGCGGAUCCCAAGGAUGUCAAGCCUCGGUAAGGUUCUACGCGUAGCGUCAUAUUAAACCACAUCCUCCUCUGCUUGUGCGGGUCCCCGUCAAUUCCUUUGAGUUUUAGCCUUGCGGCCGUACUUCCCAGGCGGCAUACUUAUCGCGUUAGCUUCGACGCACAGGGGGUCGAUACCCCAUACGUCUAGUAUGCAUCGUUUACGGCGUGGACUAC
rnacentral:misc_RNA from 1 species